GCCACGGUGGUCUAUCGGUUAGAACGCUGGCCUUGUAAUCCUGGGGUCUCGGGUUCGAUUCCCGGCGGUGCCC
rfam:Zootermopsis nevadensis contig7893, whole genome shotgun sequence.